GACAGAGGGUGCAAACGUUGUUCGGAAUUACUGGGCGUAAAGCGCGUGUAGGCUGCUUCGCAAGUCGGGUGUGAAAGCCCUGGGCUCAACCUAGGAAGUGCACUCGAAACUGCGAAGCUGGAGUCCUGGAGAGGAAGGCGGAAUUCUCGGUGUAGAGGUGAAAUGCGCAGAUAUCGGGAAGAACACCCGUGGCGAAGGCGGCUCUCUGGGACGGUACUGACGCUGAGACGCGAAAGUGUGGGGAGCGAACAGG
rnacentral:rRNA from 1 species